ensembl:snRNA U6 U6 spliceosomal RNA
GUGCUCGCUUUGGCCGCACAUAUACUAAAAUUGGAAGGAUACAGAGAAGAUUAGAAUGGCCUCUACACAAGGAUGACAUGCAACUUCGUGAAGUGUUCCAUAUUUUU